rnacentral:lncRNA from 1 species
UAAUAGUUUGCAUAUGUAUUCAAAUGUUCUUACAUGUUCUUAGCUAGGACAAAAUUUUUCCUUCAAAAAGAAGUACAAGGGCAUUGAUGAGUUGAUUUCAUAUUAUAUAUUUUACCCUAUUCUUAGUAUAUUUUGGUAAGUAUUUUGGUAGAAUUUUGAUACUUUGCAUUAUAUUUUCAACAUAGGAUAUUCAACUUCUUUCGAAGAGAAACGUGAUCAAACGGACAAAUUUUGGAGUAAUUCAAAUUGGAGGAUGUUCGUGCGUUCCUUAGCUUGUUCAUGUCAAAAUUUUAGUGAUUUCUACCACGCGAUUAUUUUCUGGCGAUAAAAUAAAAAAGCAGUGCGCGUUGUUAGAAAGUAACCUUUUUGGGCUUAAUUGCGAUUUUUGGAGCCCAAGAUGACCUCUGAUGGGUUUGUGACCUUUUGGAGAAGUGUUCAAAAUAGUCCAAACUUUAUAUUCAACUAUUUUGGGCCGGUUUUGUAGCUGAUAUGGGUCCAAAUUGUGGCUGUGCAGAAUUUUGGGCAAAUUUACCAAGUCAAUUUAGGAUUAUGUUUCCUUUAUUUUAUUUGGUUUUCUAGUCUUAUUCUAAUAUCUUUUACUAGGAGGAUUUAAUUAGAGUAGUAUAAAUAAGCCUUUUGGCCAGCCCUAGUUUAUUCUUCUUUAUGCAAUUUUUGGAGAGAGGAUUUUGAACAAAGCUUAGAGAUUUCAAGACUUAUACUUUCAAGGUGUUUUCAUUUUUUUCUAUUUUAAUAAAGACUUUGUAAUUUUUAUUAUGAAUAUGCGUAACUAAUCCUCUUUGCUAGGGUGAGGCCAUGAGCCUUAGCAAGAAUAUGCAGUAUUUUUUAAUUUGCUUAUGAAUUUAUGCAUGCAUGUUUUGAAUUGUUAAUCACCGGUUUUAAUUAUCUAUUUGUCUUAGUGAUUCGCAACCAUUAGGAUAAUUAGAAAAGUAAUUUGAUGCAAUUUUGGCGAAGGUCUGUUCCUAAAAUUAACUAAGGCUUCUUGCGGUUAAUAUGUGUAACUUCUUAGGAUGGACAACAUGUCUUAAGGUUUAUAUGGUUUUUCAAAAGGUUUUCACAAAACUUAAUGAGUCUUGCAUGUUCUCAUUCAAUCUGGACACCAUGAAUGGGUUGUAUGUUAGAUAUACAUUCUAUGUUGAAGGUUCCAAGUAGGAUAUACUUUAGAAAAACCUAACCUUCAAAAUAUGUAUGUGUACUCAUAAGUAAUUAGAAGAACUACAUAGGAUUGUUAACGUGAUGGCGAAACCCUAGUGCUUUCUCACUUUGAAUUCUAAGAACUGUUUCCUUUUCUUUCUUUAAAAUUGUAGAUUUUAGUUAACCCCUUUUAAUUAAAUUCGUUUUUCUUAAUUUAGGUAUGUUUGUACCAUACUUGACUAAUCCCGAAACUACUGAGCACUGGUCAACGUUACCGUCAAGGACCCAGAAGAGUUUCCCUCCAACCAGGAGGCCAAUCACAGUGCGAUACAUGUUGACAUCAGAAGCCAAUCACAGCGUGACAGGUGUUAACAUCUGAAGCCAAUCACAACACGACACGUGUCAAUGUCAGAACAAAGCUAGACACUUUUCUAUAAAAGGAGAUCAUUCUCCCACAAUAUUUCCUAAUGUCAUUUGUACUAAAUCAUUCACUGGUACUCACUAAAGGAGAGCUUGAACCUAUGUACUUGUGUAAACCCUUCACAAUUAGUGAGAACUCCUCUACUUCGUGGAUGUAGCCAAUCUAGGUGAACCACGUACAUCUUGUGUUUGCUUCCCUGUCUCUAUCCAUUUACAUACUUAUCCACACUAGUGACCGGAGCAAUCUAGCGAAGGUCACAACUUAACAUUUUCUAUUGUACCAAAGUCCCCACUAAUUUUGUGCAUCAACAUUUGACACCAUCUGUGGGAACGACACUUAUUCCCACUGAUGCGUAAAAUAACUAAACACACAAAUUAAACCCUCUUUUUAUCAAUUGUAGUAAAGUAUGUAAGUAGGGAUCGUUCUAGGCCGGGGAUUAGGAGGGAUUGCUAAAUCACUUGGAAACUGACUUGAAAACGUAAAAACAAAGUUUAAAACACUAAACUAGACUCAAAGAAUGCAAAACUAUACUUUAAAAUACUAAGAUAAACAAAAAGACUCAAAACAGCCCCUAAACACUCAAAACUACCUUAAAAACACAAUCUGGGCAAUUUUGGGACUCUCACACAAACUUGGACAAAUUUUGGUUUUUCUAAUGAACUAAAACACUUAAAAACAUAAUCUAAGACAAGUUCU